CGGAAGGGGGGGCUCUAGGACCAAGAUCCCCGCCCGGCAGGCACUGGUGCCCAUCCCCCUACCUCUGAGUCUUCUUGGGCAACUCAAAUCCCAGCCCCUCCUAGGGCACAGGAUGGAUUAUCUCACUGAAACCUCCAGUGCACUUGUGUCUGAACUGUUGGAGUCCUAGUAGUCAAAGUGCUGUUUGAGACCCUGCUGAACUGAUUUCCUGGCCCACUAUUGGCCUUGCAGUUUGUAAAACCACUCGUCUAAAGGUGAACAGUUCACUGGCUUUGGAGAUGGACAGACCCUAGUUCUAAUCAUGCCUUUCCUAUGUCCUUGUCAAAAUAACUUCACUUCUCUGGCCUGGCCAGUGUAUCUCAGUGGAUAGAGCACCGGCCUUCAAUUCCUGGUUGGGGCACAUGCCCUGAUUGCAGGCUUGAUCCCCACUUAGGGGCGUGCAGG